UAUUCAAGCUCCAGGACAAAGCGGGAGGAGAGGCCGCCACUAGCAAACAACCUCACUUCAUAAACCCAGCAGAAAGGUCCGGGGUGUUGUUGGAAAAGUCGGGGUAUUGUUGGAAAGGUCAGAAGGACCAUGAUUCUGUCCGCCCUCCUAAGGGGGACGAAGAACCAAGUUGUGCGAUGCAGCUUUAAAGGGGCUGAUUGACAGAAUGUGUAGCAGUGGAUGGGGUGGAGCCGCUGGGUGGGGUCGGGACUGGCAGCUGAGAGAGACCAAAAAGGAGGAAAAAGGAAAAUCAUUGCCCUUGAUAUCGCUAAUGCCGGGAGAGGGAAGCUAACCAGAAAGGAGGGAAAAGGAAGGUUUUAGAGCUCACAUCCAUUCCUUCCUCUGGCUAACACUCUUCACACUCUUCUGUCUUCCCUUGAGAUAAUUAAAAUAGACUGUACCCCGGCCCUAGUCGGUGCCCAUUCCCCCUAACUCUUCAUUCAACUACGUUUGUAGUCCGAGGGAGUGAGGACCCCGGGUCCACCAGCUUAACCCCGGCCCCGCCCCGUCGGCCCUUGCCCCGGGGCUGGGAGGAGAGGGUGCCUUCGGAGGCGCAGAAUCCGAAAGAGGUGUACCCUGGGCAAUGUUGCCAAGUUACACAUUAGUUAACUGCAGUCAGUUGACUCUGCAGUUUUAGCUCAAAAAGAAAAUUUCCAUUUCCUGAGAGACUCCAUGACAAUGCAGCACUGUUCACAAUAGCAAAGACUUGGAAUCAACCCAAAUGCCCAUCAAUGAUAGACUGGAUAAAGAAAAUAUGCUACAUAUAUGCCAUGGAAUACUAUGCAGCUAUAAAAAGGAACAUGGAUGGAGUUGGAAGCCAUUAUCUUCUGUGAACUAAUGCAGAAAAAGAAAAUCAAAUACCACCUUCAAAGAGGAAGAGGGUUUUUAUAGAGCAUCUACUUAAUGCCAGGUACUUUCAUAUAUUACUUCAUUUGAUACUCAAUGGGAUUUUGUUCUCACUUAUAAGUGGGAGCUGCAUGAUGAGAACACAUGGACACAUGGGUGGGGGUGGGGAAUAACACACA